CCUACGGGCGGCAGCAGUGAGGAAUAUUGGUCAAUGGGCGCGAGCCUGAACCAGCCAAGUCGCGUGAGGGAUGACGGUCCUACGGAUUGUAAACCUCUUUUGCCGGGGAGCAAGCGUGCGUUCGUGAACGCGCGUCGAGAGUACCCGGAGAAAAAGCAUCGGCUAACUCCGUGCCAGCAGCCGCGGUAAUACGGAGGAUGCGAGCGUUAUCCGGAUUUAUUGGGUUUAAAGGGUGCGUAGGCGGGAUGCCAAGUCAGCGGUAAAAAUGCGGUGCUCAACCCCGGCGAGCCGUUGAAACUGGCGGGCUGGAGUUGGAGAGAAGUACGCGGAAUGCGCGGUGUAGCGGUGAAAUGCUUAGAGAUCGCGCAGAACCCCGAUUGCGAAGGCAGCGUACCGGCUCCACACUGACGCUGAGGCACGAAAGUGUGGGUAUCGAACAGGAUUAGAUACCCUAGUAGUC
rnacentral:rRNA from 1 species